rnacentral:rRNA from 1 species
UAGGGAAUCUUCCACAAUGGACGAAAGUCUGAUGGAGCAACGCCGCGUGAGUGAUGAAGGGUUUCGGCUCGUAAAACUCUGUUGUUGGAGAAGAACAGGUGAUAGAGUAACUGUUAUCAUCUUGACGGUAUCCAACCAGAAAGCCACGGCUAACUACGUGCCAGCAGCCGCGGUAAUACGUAGGUGGCAAGCGUUGUCUGGAUUUAUUGGGCGUAAAGCGAGCGCAGGCGGUUUUUUAGGUCUGAUGUGAAAGCCUUCGGCUUAACCGGAGAAGGGCAUCGGAAACCGGGAGACUUGAGUGCAGAAGAGGACAGUGGAACUCCAUGUGUAGCGGUGAAAUGCGUAGAUAUAUGGAAGAACACCAGUGGCGAAGGCGGCUGUCUGGUCUGUAACUGACGCUGAGGCUCGAAAGCAUGGGUAGCGAACAGGAUUAGAUACCCUGGUAGUCCAUGCCGUAAACGAUGAGUGCUAAGUGUUGGAGGGUUUCCGCCCUUCAGUGCUGCAGCU